UUUCCGUAGGUGAACCUGCGGAAGGGUCAUUCAUAAUAAAGUGUUUUAUGGCACUUUUUAAAAAUCCAUAUCCACCUUGUGUGCAAUGUUAGAUCUCGUCAAUCUUGGCGAGAUUUUUAUACAUCAACUCAUUCUUUAACUAAUUUGUCUGAAAAAUAUUAUGAAUACUUAAUUCAAAAUACAACUUUCAACAACGGAUCUCUUGGCUCUC
rnacentral:misc_RNA from 1 species